AUUGAACGCUGGCGGCAUGCUUUACACAUGCAAGUCGAACGGUAACAGGGAGCUUGCUCCGCUGACGAGUGGCGAACGGGUGAGUAAUGCGUCGGAACGUGCCGAGUAGUGGGGGAUAACGCAGCGAAAGUUGUGCUAAUACCGCAUACGUACUGAGGUAGAAAGUGGGGGACCUUCGGGCCUCGCGCUAUUCGAGCGGCCGACGUCUGAUUAGCUAGUAGGUGAGGUAAAGGCUCACCUAGGCGACGAUCAGUAGCGGGUCUGAGAGGAUGAUCCGCCACACUGGGACUGAGCCACGGCCCAGACUCCUACGGGAGGCAGCAGUGGGGAAUUUUGGACAAUGUGCGAAAGCCUGAUCCAGCCAUGCCGCGUGUCUGAGGAAGGCCUUCUGGUUGUAAAGGACUUUUGUCGGGGAGGAAAUCCCCAGCGCUAAUACCGCUGGGGGAUGACAGUACCUGAAGAAUAAGCACCGGCUAACUACGUGCCAGCAGCCGCGGUAACAC
rnacentral:rRNA from 1 species